UAAUACCAGCAGCUCAAGUGGUGAUCCUUAUUAUUGGGCCUAAAGCGUCCGUAGCCUGCUCAGUAAAUCCUUGGGUAAAUCGGGCAGCUUAACUGUCCGACUUCCGGGGAGACUGCUGAGCUUGGGACUGGGAGAGGUCGGAGGUACUCCGGGGGUAGAGGUGAAAUUCUGUAAUCCUUGGGGGACCACCAGUGGCGAAGGCGUCCGACUUGAACGGGUCCGACGGUGAGGGACGAAGCCCUGGGGCACAAACCGGAUUAGAUACCCGGGUAGUCCAGGGUGUAAACGCUGCGGGCUUGGUGUUGGGGGUCCUACGUGGGCGUCCAGUGCCGGAGAGAAGUUGUUAAGCCCGCCGCCUGGGGAGUACGGUCGCAAGACUG
rnacentral:rRNA from 1 species